UUGACAGCCUGGACUGCUCAGGAGCAUUUGAUUUCAGUCAGGAAGACAUGCCAAAAAUUAGAAGAUGGUGGUGUCAUCUCUUACUUCGCAAAGCCAGCAUUAAAGCCAAGACAUCGGUCUUCACUUUCCACACGAGAAGAAGGACAUUCUGUGCCCCACGGGCAGUGCUUCGUAAUUAUCAGUUGAAAAGUUUUCUGACACUAAUUUUAUAUAUUAGAACUUCACAAAAAGACUUUGACCAACUGGUCACACAGCAGGUCUCCGGUGAGGCUGUCAGUAACUUGUGUCUCUCGUCAGCCCUGUGGUGUGUCAGUGCCGUUAUGGGGGCAGAGAAUGGUGGUCUUAAAAAUGAGUGUUUUGUGUGCUUGUGCUCUAACUGAUUUAUUAAAUGGCAAUUAUUUCUGCUUCCAGCAAUUCCAGACAAGAUAGGAAAGAGCAAGGACUUUUCUCCCCCACCCUUCUUUUCCAUUACUAAAGAAUAUGAAAAUGUUGACUGAAUUAUUUAUGCCAGUACAAUCAUAUUCAGCAUAUUUAUGGUUACAUUUAGUUGUUAGCAAAUUGUACCUCACAAAGGCACAGUCCUGUCAGGUAUGUAGUGAAAUGACUCUUAUGGCACAGCCAAUGCCUUAAAGGUGAUGACUUUCUUUUUCCUUUUCAAUAUCAUUCAGAAAUCAACCAGUCUAGAAUGGAGUGAUUGUUUGCUUCAGGUAAACACUUUCCAUUAUGUAUAACUUUUUAGAUGUAGCAUUUCUAUUGUAAUAUGUUUGGGUGAAUGUUUCAGCAGUUUUUAAAGCAUGCUUACUAAACUGGGAACAAUUAAAUUACAUAUUAUUUGAAAUGAUGAUAUUUGAAAUGAUGAAUUUGGCCUUCACAAGUGACAAUGCUGUGUAAUUGGACUCUUUGUCUUUCAGGGACUCACUUCAGUACAAUUCCAGUAGACGUUCAGAUUGAACUGAAAUGGGUCUUACAGCAAUGUAUUAGUAAAUAAAAAUGAAUGCUUUUUUCACUACA